AACGAACGCUGGCGGCAGGCCUAAAACAUGCAAGUCGAACGCCCCGCAAGGGGAGUGGCACACGGGUGAGUAACGCGUGGGAACGUGCCCUUCAGUACGGGACAACGUCGGGAAACUGACGCUAAUACCGUAUAAUGACUCCGGUCCAAAGAUUUAUCGCUGAAGGAGCGGCCCGCGUCUGAUUAGCUAGUUGGUGAGGUAAUGGCUCACCAAGGCUACGAUCAGUAGCAGGUCUGAGAGGAUGAUCUGCCACACUGGGACUGAGACACGGCCCAGACUCCUACGGGAGGCAGCAGUUAGGAAUAUUGGACAAUGGGGGAAACCCUGAUCCAGCCAUGCCGCGUGUGUGAUGAAGGCCCUAGGGUUGUAAAGCACUUUCGUUGGGGAUGAUAAUGACCGUACCCAAAGAAGAAGCACCGGCUAACUUCGUGCCAGCCGCCGCUGUAA
rnacentral:rRNA from 1 species